UCGGAGGUACUCGGCAAUCGCUCGGCCUCCCCCAUCCCCCGGUAACGGUCGCUGGUGAGUUUAAAUGAGCCGGGGCUGGCCGGGCCGGAGCCGCUACGGGGGGGGCCUGAGGCACUGCAGAAAGUGGGCCUGAGCCUCAAGGAUGACGGUGCUGCAGGAACCCGUCCAGGCUGCUAUAUGGCAAGCACUAAACCACUAUGCUUACCGAGAUGCAGUUUUCCUUGCAGAACGACUGUAUGCUGAAGUACACUCAGAGGAAGCCUUGUUUUUAUUGGCAACCUGUUAUUACCGCUCAGGAAAGGCAUAUAAAGCAUAUAGACUCUUGAAAGGACACAGUUGUACUACACCGCAGUGUAAAUACCUGCUUGCAAAAUGUUGUGUUGAUCUCAGCAAGCUUGCAGAAGGGGAACAGAUCUUAUCUGGUGGAGUCUUUAAUAAGCAGAAAAGCCAUGAUGAUAUUGUUACUGAGUUUGGUGAUUCAGCUUGUUUUACUCUCUCAUUGUUGGGACAUGUAUAUUGCAAGACAGAUCGGCUUGCCAAAGGAUCAGAAUGUUACCAAAAGAGCCUUAGUUUAAAUCCUUUCCUCUGGUCCCCCUUUGAAUCAUUAUGUGAAAUAGGUGAAAAGCCAGAUCCUGACCAAACAUUUAAAUUAACAUCUUUACAGAACUUUAGCAACUGUCUGCCCAGCUCGUGCACAACACUAGUAUCUAAUCAUAGUUUAUCGCACAGACAGCCUGAGACUGUUCUUACAGAAACACCCCAGGACACAAUUGAAUUAAACAGACUGAAUUUAGAAUCUUCCAAUUCAAAGUACUCCUUGAAUACAGAUUCCUCAGUGUCUUAUAUUGAUUCAGCUGUAAUUUCACCAGAUACUGUCCCUCUUGGAACAGGAACUUCCAUAUUAUCUAAACAGGUUCAAAAUAAACCAAAAACUGGUCGAAGCUUAUUAGGAGGACCAGCUGCUCUUAGCCCAUUAACCCCAAGUUUUGGGAUUUUGCCAUUAGAAACCCCAAGUCCUGGAGAUGGAUCCUAUUUACAAAACUACACUAAUACAUCUUCUGUAAUUGACGUGCCAUCUACUGGAGCCCCUUCAAAAAAGACUUUUUGUGUUUUACAGUCUGUUGCCAGAAUCGGCCAAACUGGAACAAAGUCUGUCUUCUCACAGAGUGGAAAUAGUCGAGAGGUAACCCCAAUUCUUGUUGCACAAACACAAAGUUCUGGUCCACAAACAAGUACAACACCUCAGGUAUUGAGCCCCACUAUCACAUCUCCCCCAAACGCACUGCCUCGAAGAAGUUCACGACUUUUUACUAGUGACAGCUCUACGACCAAGGAGAAUAGCAAAAAGUUAAAAAUGAAGUUUCCACCUAAAAUCCCAAACAGAAAAACUAAAAGUAAAACUAAUAAAGGGGGAAUAACUCAACCUAACAUAAAUGAUAGCCUGGAAAUUACAAAAUUGGACUCUUCCAUCAUUUCAGAAGGGAAAAUCUCCACAAUCACACCUCAGAUCCAGGCAUUUAAUCUACAGAAAGCAGCAGCAGAAGGUUUGAUGAGCCUUCUUCGUGAAAUGGGGAAAGGUUAUUUAGCUUUGUGUUCAUACAACUGCAAAGAAGCUAUAAAUAUCUUGAGCCACCUACCUUCUCACCACUACAAUACUGGUUGGGUACUGUGCCAAAUUGGAAGGGCCUAUUUUGAACUUUCAGAGUAUAUGCAAGCUGAAAGAAUAUUCUCAGAGGUUAGAAGGAUUGAGAAUUACAGAGUUGAAGGCAUGGAGAUCUACUCUACAACACUGUGGCAUCUUCAAAAAGAUGUUGCUCUUUCAGUUCUUUCAAAAGACUUAACAGACAUGGAUAAAAAUUCACCAGAGGCCUGGUGUGCUGCAGGGAACUGUUUCAGUUUGCAACGGGAACAUGAUAUUGCAAUUAAAUUCUUCCAGAGAGCUAUCCAGGUUGAUCCAAAUUAUGCGUAUGCCUAUACUCUAUUAGGGCAUGAGUUUGUAUUAACUGAAGAAUUAGACAAAGCAUUAGCUUGUUUUCGAAAUGCUAUCAGAGUCAAUCCGAGACAUUAUAAUGCAUGGUAUGGUUUAGGAAUGAUUUAUUACAAGCAAGAAAAAUUCAGCCUUGCAGAAAUGCAUUUCCAGAAAGCACUUGAUAUCAACCCUCAAAGUUCAGUUUUACUUUGCCACAUUGGAGUAGUUCAGCAUGCACUGAAAAAAUCUGAGAAGGCUUUGGAUACCCUAAACAAAGCCAUUGUCAUUGAUCCCAAGAACCCUCUAUGCAAAUUUCACAGAGCCUCAGUUUUAUUUGCAAAUGAAAAAUAUAAGUCUGCUUUACAAGAACUUGAAGAAUUGAAACAAAUUGUUCCCAAAGAAUCCCUCGUUUACUUCUUAAUAGGAAAGUGCUGCUGUUUAUUUUUAGGUUUACAAGAAGUUAGGUCAAACGCACCUCGCCCUGAUGAAUUUCUCUUGGGCUAUGGAUUUAGAUCCUAAAGGAGCCAAUAACCAGAUUAAAGAGGCAAUUGAUAAACGCUACCUUCCAGAUGAUGAGGAGCCAAUAACCCAAGAAGAACAGAUCAGUGAGUAUCAUCCAUAAGAAUCAGUGGGAACAGAUGAAUCCCAGGAGAGCAGCAUGACAGAUGCAGACGACACACAGCUUCAUGCAGCUGAAAGUGAUGAAUUUUAACUUCCGGAAAUCAGACUUUUGCAACUGGAUGUGUGACUAGUGCUGACAUGUUUCUUGUCCCUCCGUAUACUGAGUCUUCACUCUUGAGCCGGCAGUGUCAUCAUCCAUCGCUUAUACCAUGAGUGUGCCACUUUCAUUGGACCCUGACUGUACACAGAAUGAAAGGCAGUGCAAUAUUUAGCUGCUAACAAGACUGGCUCUUUCACCAGUAUGAAUGACAAUGUAGGGGGGUAGGAUGGGGAACUUUCUUUUCUUUUUUUUUUUUUUCUUUAAUCUCCCUUUGUUGGAAAGCUAUCAUGGAAGGAAGAGUUAUGUUUUAUCUUGAAGGAAGCAUUAGAUAUGGAAAAUAGUGAUGAACCAGAAUUUCUUGGUCAUUUUUCCAAAAAUUUGUUUUUAUUUGGUUCUGUUCCUGAUUAACAGAGUGACUGACCUUCAUUUCUAGGUUCUUCAAGAAUGGUGUUAGCAAGUGCCAGAUGGAACAAUAAAAAGACAUUGCCUAUAACAGAGUAACUUGAUUGCCAAGGAAUGUAAAUUACCUUAAACUUGCAGUGUCUCCCAUAAGCAAAUGUAAUGGGCACAUUGGGACUCGUGUAGGAAUCAAAUAUCCCUCCAUACAGUGUACACUUAUUCUUGGCAAGAAUGCUUUAAUGUCUAACCAAGAAUUUUAAUUUAUUCAUCUUGCUUCAAAGUGUUGAUCAUUGUCUUGGUAUUGCAAACUUUAAAGUUGUCCCUUUACCAUAUUGCCUCUUCUCUUUGACCUCUGUGGGAUCACCUUUAACAUUCAGAGAUGGUAGAGUGUUUGCCCACUGAAAAGCCAAAACAAGGCCCGUAAUAACCACUUAAGUUCACCGUAAGAAUCAAAAUGAGAACACUAAAGUGGAGAGACUUUAAGAGAUCAUGAUAGCGAAAGCCUUAAUACAAUCAAAAUUGUACCAUAACCUUGAAUCUAUAUUUGUUCAAGAAAGUAUCCUUUGACUUUUCUAAGUGUUUAAGCAGGGUGCAGAAAUGUGUAGUUAAACCAUUGGUUGAGGUCAUUUCCAUUCUUUUCAGCUCUCUGCUUCAAAUUAUUUUCAGUAGUGUGAGUCACCAAAACGUUUACCAAGAGUGAUUGGGUUUAGGAUAUUAGAAAUUUUUAGCUGCAAAAAAAAACACAAAACCCAUUCUUAUGAAGGAGUUGAGUUCUCUCCUGAGUUUCUCAUAAUAUAAGUUGGUGUCUUUGGGGAAUGGCCACAAUUUUAAAGAUCUAAUUAUGCAUAAUAAAAUGGGAAUUAUUGGAAUUUCACAGUAACAGAUUUAAAGUCUUAAAUUGUGUAUCUCCUUUAUUGUAAUGUAUUGAAAUUUUUAGAGAAACUUUAGUUGUUAACAUUUUUUUAAGUGCCAAUGUCAGAAUAUAACAAAUUACAGUUUCUUAUGAAUGACAGGCCUACGGUUAUUAUUUUGGAUUAUUUGAUGAAGGACAAAUGUAUCUAUUGGUUACCUGUACUUGUCAAGUUGUGAAAAUAAGGUGGAUUACAGAAGACGUGAACAAAAUUUUAACCUGUAGACUCAGUAACUUCCUAUCAUUUACUAUUAAUCUGCUCAUUUGAAUGUGGAUUAGAUACCAUCAUAAAUUAAUUCAAGUCAGAGUCUUAGAUUAGGUAUUGGGUGCCAGAGAGGUAUUUAACAAAAUUUCCUACCUAAAUCUAUGUAAUAUGUGCUGCUUAAAGAAAUAAUUUAUAAGAAAAAGGAAAGUUUGGGAGUAAGUGAAUAUCAUUAAAAAUUCCCAAAGGCUAGCACUUGGAUUCUAACAAAUAUUCCAUGUUAUUCAUUAGUUCUUUAAUAUUUAAUUUUAUAUUCCUUUGUUUUUUUAAUUGGCAAAUCGUAAGCCAGCUAUAUAACAGUAUCAAAUACAGAAUUUCAUAGAAAGCUUGAACCUGAGCUCUGUUACAAAGCCUGGAGAAAGCUAAACUCAGAACAUAAUUUGCUGAUGUAUAAUUAUCUUUUUGUAGUAGGAAUUUAUGUCCUGUGCUAGAGGUGAGAGCCUUUCUGGUACUAAUUUGAGACCAAGGAUAAAAGGAUAGUUGUGGAAGGCACACCAUGGCAAUGGUUGGCUAUGGGACUCUCAGCCCAAGCUUAGCCUGAUUUCAUUUUCCUCACACCUACUUUCAAAAUGUUUAGAUAUUUGAAGCCUUAUUCCCACCUAGUAACUGUUUCUGGCCUGCCUCUUUUUUUUUUUUUUUGCCUGGAAUGAGGAUCAAAUAACCAGAAAAGGACAUACAUUUUGAUCAAGCAAAAUGUUUGUUUGAAAUUUCAGUAGUUACUUUGAAGGAAAUUUAAAAUACUAAGAACUUUAACAUCCUUUUUAGUCUCUUUAAGCUUUUCACACACAUGUAUAUAUGUGUACACACACACACACUUUUGUUCAGAAGUUAUGUUGUGGCAUUGGAUAUUUUCCCCCCUUGGAAAUGGUUCUUAACUGGGAUUUUAGAAGGUUGGAAAUAUUUUUUCAAGUGAACAAUGGUACUCAAAAUAAUGAAAGGUGGUCCCUACUUUUUCUGUAUUUCAUUAUUUUAAAAUUUUUGUGUUUUUUUUCCAAGAACUGCAAGUUACAUUUGAACCAUGCUGCUGUUGUACCUUAAACAAAAACUCAGUGAUAACCAGUAUUUAGUCUAUUAAAAAUGCUCUUUUUGAA